rnacentral:lncRNA from 1 species
CAGUGACUGUUUUUCCUCCAUCGUAGUGCAUGUGUAGUAUUUUCUUCUCCUGGCAUUUUCGGCCUGGCUUUUUAUGUAGCAUUUAUUUAAUCUUCUUAUUUUUUUAUUAAAUGUUGUUAAUUGUUAUUUUAUGGCUGGCAUUUUAAUUUUACAAUGUUUUAUUUAUUAAUUAAUUACUUCUUUUCUUUUUAGCAAAAAAACGUAAAUUAUUUUACUUUAAUUUAUCUCAGUGCAUGUGGCCUAACCACGCGUACUGAACUGGUGACCCGGCUUAACGAACUUAAUCUAUUUUAAUCUCCUAAAAUAUGCAAAGACCAGCCAUGUAAUUUUUUUCUUAUAAUUGCUAUUCAAAAUUUUUAAUAUUUCGCGAAUUUAUUUUGCUAAUUUUUUUUCUCCAAUUGGAUUUCCACGUGGUUUCAACUCAGCAAAAUCAAGAGAUACUGAAGAAGCUGCUGGAAUCUACUGCUCGACUGCACCAAAAAUAUGAUAACAAUUUUCUAGUUAUACAAAAAAUGUUUCCCCACCAAGCAACAGUCAGUGAUUAAGAUGAGCCUGCAGCCAGUGUAGAUGACUUAAAAACUCUAAAUGAGAAGUUACUGAGUGAGGAGUUUUUCUCAGCCACAGUUUUCUCUUUUGGAUUGCUAGGAGGGAAGGAUCCCACUGAUGGAGUCAGAAAAAAUACUUACUAGAAUCAUCUCAAAUAAACUGGCCACUGAAAUGAACUGUGUUGGAGGACGUAAAAGGUCCAUACAGGAGUUUCCCUCUAUUUUAAAGCUAAUUUUAGGAUCUCUAAGGAGCAACAAGUUCUUUGAAAAAACUCAACAAAAUGUUGUGGAGGAUGUAGUAAAAAGAUGGCUAAGAUCGGCGGGCGAUCGUGAUGGUGGAAGAUCCAGAAGAAUGAAGAGGUCGAUACAAUUAGCAGAAGCAAAUAUUUUGUAGCAAUAAUAAUAAAAAAAUUUCUGUUUUUUCA